AUCCCCGACGGCAUUGUGCGUACCCCAGUUUGAGAAUACCUGCUCUAUGCUACUUACCACACCUUGGUGGUUUGAUUUGAUGUAUAAUUUUGUGAUAUCAUCUUGCAGUCUGACUCUCUAUGUAGUGUUGAGAAGGGCUUCUACGAUGGUGUCUUCCUGGAGGAAGACGAUGAUGUCAUCCUUCGUCAAACAUGUCCAUACAAAGACCAAUCAUUUCUGCCCUCUCUAUAGAUUAUGCUGAUGCCCCACCGUAAGAACCUGGAGCUCUUUACUGGUUCUGUGGGAGGUGACGUGGCCACAAAUCAGUGCCUGGGACACCUUACAGCGCUACCACUGUCUGAACAACAGCCAAAGGGUGGUCAAGACAUCUACUGCAACUUCAUCUUUAGUGUGUCAGCUCUGCUGCACCUGGGAGAUAAAGAUGGCUCUGGCUUGCUGAUGACAUCUGAUCUGAUCUGACUCCUUGCAAUUUGACUCCUGUAUUACUGACUAUAUUAAAUAAAACUUCCAAUGCCAAAUUGAAAUAUUUUUCUG